CGGAACAAGGACGACCGGCGCGACGGUGACGUAACGCGUAUGACUAUACCUUACUUUGCAGAGGAUAGCCAGAGUAAUUUGGAUUAAUACCUCAUAGUAUAGUACUUUGGCAUCAAGGAACUAUUAAAGUCACAACGGCAAAAGAUGAGCAUGCGUCCCAUUAGCUAGUUGGUAAGGUAACGGCUUACCAAGGCUACGAUGGGUAGGGGUCCUGAGAGGGAGAUCCCCCACACUGGUACUGAGACACGGACCAGACUCCUACGGGAGGCAGCAGUGAGGAAUAUUGGACAAUGGGCGCAAGCCUGAUCCAGCCAUGCCGCGUGCAGGAUGACGGUCCUAUGGAUUGUAAACUGCUUUUAUACAGGAAGAAACACUCCGACGUGUCGGAGCUUGACGGUACUGUAAGAAUAAGGAUCGGCUAACUCCGUG
rnacentral:rRNA from 1 species